GGGUUGUGAGGUUAAGCGACUAAGCGUACACGGUGGAUGCCCUGGCAGUCAGAGGCGAUGAAGGACGUGCUAAUCUGCGAUAAGCGUCGGUAAGGUGAUAUGAACCGUUAUAACCGGCGAUUUCCGAAUGGGGAAACCCAGUGUGUUUCGACACACUAUCAUUAACUGAAUCCAUAGGUUAAUGAGGCGAACCGGGGGAACUGAAACAUCUAAGUACCCCGAGGAAAAGAAAUCAACCGAGAUUCCCCCAGUAGCGGCGAGCGAACGGGGAGCAGCCCAGAGCCUGAAUCAGUGUGUGUGUUAGUGGAAGCGUCUGGAAAGGCGCGCGAUACAGGGUGACAGCCCCGUACACAAAAAUGCACAUGCUGUGAGCUCGAUGAGUAGGGCGGGACACGUGGUAUCCUGUCUGAAUAUGGGGGGACCAUCCUCCAAGGCUAAAUACUCCUGACUGACCGAUAGUGAACCAGUACCGUGAGGGAAAGGCGAAAAGAACCCCGGCGAGGGGAGUGAAAAAGAACCUGAAACCGUGUACGUACAAGCAGUGGGAGCCUCUUUUAUGGGGUGACUGCGUACCUUUUGUAUAAUGGGUCAGCGACUUAUAUUCUGUAGCAAGGUUAACCGAAUAGGGGAGCCGAAGGGAAACCGAGUCUUAACUGGGCGUUAAGUUGCAGGGUAUAGACCCGAAACCCGGUGAUCUAGCCAUGGGCAGGUUGAAGGUUGGGUAACACUAACUGGAGGACCGAACCGACUAAUGUUGAAAAAUUAGCGGAUGACUUGUGGCUGGGGGUGAAAGGCCAAUCAAACCGGGAGAUAGCUGGUUCUCCCCGAAAGCUAUUUAGGUAGCGCCUCGUGAAUUCAUCUCCGGGGGUAGAGCACUGUUUCGGCAAGGGGGUCAUCCCGACUUACCAACCCGAUGCAAACUGCGAAUACCGGAGAAUGUUAUCACGGGAGACACACGGCGGGUGCUAACGUCCGUCGUGAAGAGGGAAACAACCCAGACCGCCAGCUAAGGUCCCAAAGUCAUGGUUAAGUGGGAAACGAUGUGGGAAGGCCCAGACAGCCAGGAUGUUGGCUUAGAAGCAGCCAUCAUUUAAAGAAAGCGUAAUAGCUCACUGGUCGAGUCGGCCUGCGCGGAAGAUGUAACGGGGCUAAACCAUGCACCGAAGCUGCGGCAGCGACACUAUGUGUUGUUGGGUAGGGGAGCGUUCUGUAAGCCUGUGAAGGUGUGCUGUGAGGCAUGCUGGAGGUAUCAGAAGUGCGAAUGCUGACAUAAGUAACGAUAAAGCGGGUGAAAAGCCCGCUCGCCGGAAGACCAAGGGUUCCUGUCCAACGUUAAUCGGGGCAGGGUGAGUCGACCCCUAAGGCGAGGCCGAAAGGCGUAGUCGAUGGGAAACAGGUUAAUAUUCCUGUACUUGGUGUUACUGCGAAGGGGGGACGGAGAAGGCUAUGUUGGCCGGGCGACGGUUGUCCCGGUUUAAGCGUGUAGGCUGGUUUUCCAGGCAAAUCCGGAAAAUCAAGGCUGAGGCGUGAUGACGAGGCACUACGGUGCUGAAGCAACAAAUGCCCUGCUUCCAGGAAAAGCCUCUAAGCAUCAGGUAACAUCAAAUCGUACCCCAAACCGACACAGGUGGUCAGGUAGAGAAUACCAAGGCGCUUGAGAGAACUCGGGUGAAGGAACUAGGCAAAAUGGUGCCGUAACUUCGGGAGAAGGCACGCUGAUAUGUAGGUGAAGUCCCUCGCGGAUGGAGCUGAAAUCAGUCGAAGAUACCAGCUGGCUGCAACUGUUUAUUAAAAACACAGCACUGUGCAAACACGAAAGUGGACGUAUACGGUGUGACGCCUGCCCGGUGCCGGAAGGUUAAUUGAUGGGGUCAGCGCAAGCGAAGCUCUUGAUCGAAGCCCCGGUAAACGGCGGCCGUAACUAUAACGGUCCUAAGGUAGCGAAAUUCCUUGUCGGGUAAGUUCCGACCUGCACGAAUGGCGUAAUGAUGGCCAGGCUGUCUCCACCCGAGACUCAGUGAAAUUGAACUCGCUGUGAAGAUGCAGUGUACCCGCGGCAAGACGGAAAGACCCCGUGAACCUUUACUAUAGCUUGACACUGAACAUUGAGCCUUGAUGUGUAGGAUAGGUGGGAGGCUUAGAAGUGUGGACGCCAGUCUGCAUGGAGCCGACCUUGAAAUACCACCCUUUAAUGUUUGAUGUUCUAACGUUGACCCGUAAUCCGGGUUGCGGACAGUGUCUGGUGGGUAGUUUGACUGGGGCGGUCUCCUCCUAAAGAGUAACGGAGGAGCACGAAGGUUGGCUAAUCCUGGUCGGACAUCAGGAGGUUAGUGCAAUGGCAUAAGCCAGCUUGACUGCGAGCGUGACGGCGCGAGCAGGUGCGAAAGCAGGUCAUAGUGAUCCGGUGGUUCUGAAUGGAAGGGCCAUCGCUCAACGGAUAAAAGGUACUCCGGGGAUAACAGGCUGAUACCGCCCAAGAGUUCAUAUCGACGGCGGUGUUUGGCACCUCGAUGUCGGCUCAUCACAUCCUGGGGCUGAAGUAGGUCCCAAGGGUAUGGCUGUUCGCCAUUUAAAGUGGUACGCGAGCUGGGUUUAGAACGUCGUGAGACAGUUCGGUCCCUAUCUGCCGUGGGCGCUGGAGAACUGAGGGGGGCUGCUCCUAGUACGAGAGGACCGGAGUGGACGCAUCACUGGUGUUCGGGUUGUCAUGCCAAUGGCACUGCCCGGUAGCUAAAUGCGGAAGAGAUAAGUGCUGAAAGCAUCUAAGCACGAAACUUGCCCCGAGAUGAGUUCUCCCUGACCCUUUAAGGGUCCUGAAGGAACGUUGAAGACGACGACGUUGAUAGGCCGGGUGUGUAAGCGCAGCGAUGCGUUGAGCUAACCGGUACUAAUGAACCGUGAGGCUUAACCUUACAACGCCGAAGCUGUU
rnacentral:rRNA from 1 species